CAAGCUAAUACCGCAUGCNCCCGUACGGGGAAGGCGGGGACCUUCGGGCCUCGCACUAUUGGAUGAGCCUAUGUCAGAUUAGCUUGUUGGUGGGGUAACGGCCUACCAAGGCGACGAUCUGUAGCUGGUCUGAGAGGACGAUCAGCCACACUGGGACUGAGACACGGCCCAGACUCCUACGGGAGGCAGCAGUGGGGAAUAUUGCACAAUGGGCGAAAGCCUGAUGCAGCAAUGCCGCGUGUGUGAAGAAGGCCUGCGGGUUGUAAAGCACUUUCAGUAGGGAGGAAACAGUAGCCGGUUAAUAUCCGGUUGCCUUGACGUUACCUACAGAAGAAGCACCGGCUAACUCUGUG
rnacentral:rRNA from 1 species